rnacentral:rRNA from 1 species
GAUGAACGCUGGCGGCGUGCCUAAUACAUGCAAGUCGAGCGAACGGACGAGGAGCUUGCUUCUCUGAUGUUUGCGGCGGACGGGUGAGUAACACGUGGAUAACCUACCUAUAAGACUGGGAUAACUUCGGGAAACCGUAGCUAAUACCGGAUAAUAUUUUGAACCGCAUGGUUCAAAAGUGAAAGACGUUCUUGCUGUCACUUAUAGAUGGAUCCUCGCUGCAUUAGCUAGUUGGUAAGGUAACGGCUUACCAAGGCAACGAUGCAUAGCCGACCUGAGAGGGUGAUCGGCCACACUGGAACUGAGACACGGUCCAGACUCCUACGGGAGGCAGCAGUAGGGAAUCUUCCGCAAUGGGCGAAAGCCUGACGGAGCAACGCCGCGUGAGUGAUGAAGGUCUUCGGAUCGUAAAACUCUGUUAUUAGGGAAGAACAUAUGUGUAAGUAACUGUGCACAUCUUGACGGUACCUAAUCAGAAAGCCACGGCUAACUACGUG